CGGAAGUGAGGCAUCCGCCAUGAAGCAGCAGACACUCUCACGCCGGGAUCAUCUGAGGAGGGUUCAACGAAGGGACCACUUCUCUAGAUCGGGCUCAGGAGUCCAGGAACUGGCAACAAGUCACACAGGAAGAAGUGAGGCAGAAGGAGAUACCAGAGCCAGGACGGGCAGGGACAGAACUUCGCUGACCGUGUAACCCUUUACAGCCGAAGAGCUCGAGCUACAGGGCUUGGAGAGGAGCCCUUCACUGUCCUAAACCACAUGGAGGUAAUAACACACGUCUAAGAGGUCCACCGUUGGCCAUCGAACAGACACCUUCCAUGAACAGACACCCUCCAUUCUCCAUAAGACCUGCUGACGGGGCCAUGGUGCUAGAAUGUUCACGGCUACCAGGCUAGGCCCCCUCUAGGACACCUGCACCUGUACCUCUAAGAGUCGGCUUGUUUCCUUUUGCGCUGAUGUCUGUUGUACCUGAUACCGU
rnacentral:lncRNA from 1 species